rnacentral:rRNA from 1 species
AUUGAACGCUGGCGGCAGGCCUAACACAUGCAAGUCGAACGAGGGGCGGACGGGUGAGUAAUGUCUGGGAAACUGCCUGAUGGGGGGGGAUAACUACUGGAAACGGUAGCUAAUACCGCAUACCAUCAGAUGUGCCCAGAUGGGAUUUGCUAGUUGGUGGGGUAACGGCUCACCAAGGCGACGAUCCAUAGCUGGUCUGAGAGGAUGACGAGCAACACUGGAACUGGGAAGCGGUCCAGACUCCGACGGGAGACACGAGUGGGGAAUAUUGCACAAGGGGCACAAGCCUGAUGCGGCCAUGCCGCGUGUAUGAAGAAGGCCUUCGGGUGGUAAAGUACGUUCAGCGGGGAGGCGUUACCCGCAGAAGAAGCACCGGCUAACUCCGUGCCAGCAGCCGCGGUAAUAC